CAUCUUUUAUUUAGCAAUAGAUAAAAACCAUUAUUUUUAAAUGCCUUGUACUGCUGGAUCUCACGCGGCUGUCACGCUUAGUAUUUUGUGACAUCUGAGGAUGGUAUGCUCAAGAAGAUAACAAAUUACAUUCAAACUUCUCUCAGCUUGUCAAUGUGCAAAUUCAGCAGAAAGUGCCCCCAGAGGGUAACUAGCGCCUACCUGUUACAUACUCUUCGCUAGUUUCAAGUCCAUUCCAAGAACAAACUAUACUCUGGGAAGCCCAUCAGUUUCUACCAGAACAAAAUGAAUGAGCUGUAUGCAGUUCCUGUUACGUUAUAACAUACAAUAACAACGGUUCUCAUUCAUGAAGCAGAACAUCAGCAAUUUAUCUAUUUUUUAACCUCUUUUUGGCACACACACACAAAAAAGCAACAGUUUUGUUUAAAGCAUGCAUUUUCCAUUUGUACACUUAAUCCUUCAGCAUGCCUUAUGGAUGAUUUUAACUAAGGUUUAUUAGGAUUUCAGGAAGAGCUUCACUUAAUACAGAAAACACCUAUAUGCAGAACUGUCUAAGCUCCAAUGAAAAUGAAAAUUUCUUCUUUUAUACCUAGAUGUAUUUUCUACCUGAUUAUGUGCAAACAGUAUUUCAGCUCUGAAAGAUUUCCUCUCUUUUUUAGUUUUUAACACAGUAGGCCAUCAACACGCUAACUGCUACAGAAGUACAAGGAAAACUACUACUAUUCUCUGGGCUUUAAGCCUCAGUUUUCAUUUGUGUGGAAAAGGUUGCAAGGGCUACAGAAAGACAUCUUUGAAAAUACUGUCAAAACAUUAGCUCAAACAGAGUGAGUGGCAGAAGCUCACAGCCAGUUUAUCAGCUCAUAGUAAGAAACAGGAUGAAUAGGAACAAGAAACAAUAAACCGGAGUAAAAAUACGAUGAAAAUAACAAUAUGUACAUAUUUAAUGUUUAUCUUUGCGUAGUAUAUUUAGAGUUCUGCUCCACUGUUAAAUGAAGGGCUGAUUCAAGACUGCUAGUAUUCAAGAACUAUCAUGCUCACUGAAUCCAUUUAUUCUUUUUCUUCAGAUGAACACCUGUGUAAGUGUCAUAGGAUUUAAGGUCACUUUGCACGAUUGAAAAUGGUCUAAAUUAAACUUACCAGGUACUCACUCAGUGCUGAUCAUCUCAACUGGUUUCCACAUAAGGAGACCAUUACUUUACUAUUUAUAUUAUUCUUCACUACAUAAGCAUCCAAACAAGACACUUCAGUCAAGUUUCGGAAUUAAUGGCUGUGAAAGCUGCAGAGGUAGUUACUACUUAUAAUAAGUUAUUUGGGUGGUUGGUUUUUUUUGUUUGUUUGUUUUGUUUCUUUCUUAAAGUUGGUUUAACCCAAACAGCUUGGAAAGAUGAAGACUAAAGUGACAUGCUGAGGUAAUCUCUUCUAUUUGAAGUGAUGGCUGUUUUAAAGUCUACCUUCUGGUCAAGUUUAUCAGAACCAAUAAAGCUCCUUCAACCUAUGAAGUCUGUGAUGAACUUAGAGUAGGAACUGACUAGUGGGAUUACAGAAGAUUUACUGGCGAGCAAAGGAUAAAACCUUCACAAAAAUACAGAGCAAGAUAGUUGCUCUGGCUAGAUUUAAAAAAAAAAAAAAAAGAAUAAAAAGGAAUGCCUAGUUUCCAAAAAUAAAGGCAAAUCUUUUGUAACAAAGAUUUAACUUACAAUACCGUUCCCUCCUUCAAGAAUCCAGGAGACAUCAGUAUUCUGAAAAUAACACCUAAAAUUUCUAGAGGUGCAAUCCAAGUAGAAAGUAAUUUUAAGAACCGAAAAUAUUACUGACCAAGUGCUACACUAGAGUUGCCCUGAGUUUUGAGUUGGGAAGAAGUUUGCAUGCCUUGUGGGGUGUUGGUUCUGCUCUCAUCCAUGCCUAGAGACAGAUCCUUCCUAGGGACUUUAGUUGCUGUUGCAUCAUCAGUCAUGCCCAUUUGCUUCUGUCUUCUGCGUUUUUUACUCCACAGCUCAUGGCAAUCCUGCCACAAAGGAAGGCUGCAAAGAACAAUUAGAGAUUAUCAGUUUUGUCCCACAUUUUUAAAAAAUGUUUUUUAACCACAGUGGUAAAAUAUUCAAAUUACGCAUAACACAGCAUUUGUAAAGAUGAACCUGCUGGGAUUUAGAAAUACAUCAGGAAACAUUCUAAGCCAGAUAUGCUUUCCUGGGUAAAAUCUUUUUCAAUUGCCUAUUUCACAAAAGCAGGUCUCUCUGGCAGAGAAUAGGAAUGUGUAUCUUACUGUGAGAAUCAAUGUCACUUUAUUACUUGUAGAAGCACUGCCUCUGUGCAGUUACAUUUGUUCAUAGUAACAGACAUGGCUAUCCAGUAUUAGUAGCCAUACAGCACAGGCAACCAAGAAAGGGAAAAAAAAAAAUGUUGCAGGAAUAAACAGUUCUCAACAGUAACAAAUUUAGGUUGCUAUGAAAAACACAGGAUACCUCCAGUUCUUUAAGACAGAUAAAAGCAGAGGAAAAAUAUCUUCUACAGAACUCAUCUGACAUUAGUUCAGUCUUCACAUUACUAUUCCUCCCUACAGGCAUCCCAAUUCAGAUCUCUUGAGGAACAUGGAAUCCCAUCCCAUACGUUAUGGAAAUACUGUGAUAUAGCAUUAAAACAGGUCCUUCCGUUUUCCAUUUACGUAUUAGUAGUAACUGUUUGAGCAGUUCUCUCAACCAGGAACAUGAAAAAAAAAUGAGCUGACAGAUAAGAAUCACUGGAAAGGAAAUUUUGACAGUUGCUUUCUACAUUCUCUUCCUCCACAGAACAGCAGGUCAAAAGACCUGUCAGGUAUUCAGUCAACAACCACUUGGAUCAAUCAAGAAACUACAAGAAUUAUCCUACAGUACUUGCAAUCAGCAAUGAGCAGCUGUUUCUUCCAAGUGAGGAACCUUAUUCUUUCUUGAGAAGAGUCAUCAUUUUCAUUUCACUACAACAAAUGUUGGUGUCAAUUUCAAAAGGAUACCAAAGGACUGUUUGUUUGUUUUUUAAUUUUCUUACAUCAGUUUCUAGAACAGAUGCACUACCAAGGCCCUGAAAAGAAGAAACAUUUUCUUCGUAUUCACUUACUUCAAAAUGUGUUAGCAACAAGGUUCUGAGAUUUUAACGAACAGCUUAAUAUUUAAUAGUGCUGUUUUGUAAUAUUCAGAUGAUAGAAAGAGACUCAGUCUUAGGCAUCAAGAUCAUUACUACCUUCCAUAUGUAACAGGUAAGUCUUGAAAGAUUUUUAAUGAAAUUCUUAGGUAAAGCUCAAGUAUUUUUUCCAGUUGGUAACUAAUUAAAAAGAAGUCAGCACAGGCUGCCUUGAAGGUACAAUGUAUUCAAACUAUUAAAUGUUCUGUCAUUAGGCAGCUAUCUCUAGGGAAAAGUUAAAUCUGCAGACUCUGUACAUGUUUUUCAUUGUUUUACUCAGGGCUCGUUCCAAUACUAUUUGUACUGCCUCAAGUGAGAAUCAAGUCACUGUAAAAAAAACUACUGAACACUGCAAUACAUUUCUAUUCAGAGGAGAGAAAAAAAACAAAUAAAAACCCACACAAAAUAUUUCACUUCGGGGAAACCAGGCAUCUCAUUUGGCACAGUAAAUCAUGUAUGGUAUGUUACUUUUACUCUCAGAUACCUUUGAAGGAUUAUGUGCCCAAUGUCAUUCUGCCAUUGUGUGGGAACUGUAAGAUCACUGCCUGAACCAGUGAUUGAACACCUGCUGAAGAAGCAUGGCUAGCCCUGGGAGCACAGGUGGAAGCAAAACCCGGGGUCCACCCCUCCCUAACCUCAUUUAGGGGCUGGCAGCUGAGAGGAAAACACCUCUAUUCAGAUAUUGCUUCCUUCUGGGGGUUUACAUCAAGCUCUGGCCUUCAGAAUCGGGUAAACUAUUCUUUUCCUAUUAUUGGCUUUUGACUGAUGCAUUUCAUGGGUCAUCCUAAGACUUGUCAGAAGCAAUUUCAUACCUCUUUGCCUGAAAAAACCAUCAAAGAAGGUAAAUUCAGGUUCAUGAGGGGCCCCAAAACCCUUGGAAAACAUGGACGCCAAUAAACAGAUACAUUCUUUUUUUUUAAAUGAAGGCAAUAGUCACUAAUUCCAGGAGCAUCAAUUCAAAUUCAUCUCAGAUCCUCACAGCCACUGAUACCAUGACAUAAGAGCCACUAAGCUGCAUUUCAGUGCAGAAUCACCAACUUUACAUAUUGACAAUUUUCUUCUACAGCAAGAUACUUUAAUUGAAACACAAUGAGCUUAAUGAAGUCCAUACGUGUUACUGUUUUGUAGGUGUAAAGAAUAUUACUAAUGGAAAUAACUUACUCUGGGGGAGGCAUCUUAGAUGGUUCCACAUCUCGCAGAAACUCACACUGAAGAGCUUGUUCAGCUGUACAGCGCUUGCUGGGAUCCAGAGCAAGCAUGUAAUCAAACAAAUCUAAUGCAGCUGGUGGGAUGCUGCAAAAGAACACAAUGGAAAAAAGCAUCAACUGUUUUUUGAAUCACAUACUUCAGUGCAAAGUUUUAGUAAGAACACCUCUCUAGAAUAACUGAACAUCUAAAAUGAAGCCAGGACUUACUUUUAAGAGGCAAAUAACAAAGUUCACCGACCACUGUAAACGCAAGUGCAUUUUUCUUUUUUUUUUUUUUCUUUUUUUUCAGCAGAGGUGGAGGUGACUGUGGGCAGUUGUGUUUCUUUAUGUGGCUGACUUGCUUGAAAUACUGUUCUUACCAAAAAAAAAAAAAAAAAUUCCAACACACUUGAAGCCAAGACUACAGUGUUACUUGACACCUUGGAAUUUAGUGCACAGAGAGGUGCAAUUUUGUAUGGACCAGUCAAAAAACUCUACUGCUUUAGGAAAGCCUUGUUAGUUCAAACAGGAUGAUAACAUUUAUUCUAAACCCUGAAGCAGAUGAAGGGAGGGAACAAUCCCUUUAAAUUGAAUCUACAGCUGCUUUCCGUAACUUUCAUGUGUGAUAUUUGCACAAAAAUGGUACAUAGUAUUUUAGAAUACAUGGUUCAGAUAACUCUUGUGUUGAAUGAAUUUAUGACCCAAAAGACUGUAACAUUAACCAGACUUCAUAUUUAGCUGUAACCAGUUGUCCUAAUAAAAAAUAAUUAAGUACUCCAAGCUGUUUUUUGUACAGGGAAAGCAAGCAGGUGUACCAAUCAUGGAAAACAAAUGUCUCCUUAGGUGAAAGCUGACAGGUGGCUGAAAUUUUAGGGCCUUCUUUCUCCCUUCUUGAAAUUUUAUUAAAUAAGGGUUAAUAGAAGCUCUGCGGGAAUUUUCUAAGAAUCUAAAGCCAUUUUUCUUUACACAACUGUUUUCUGGAAACUGGCUGAACAUACAUCAAGUUCAUAAAGAUGCCAGCAACACUUAAUGCUGUUACAAUUGAGUAAACUAAUCCUUUGUCCUUACAAUGCAAACUCUUCUCUCAGUUUUCGACGAUACUGCUUCUUUGGUUUCAUCGUGUUGAAAUAAGCUAAUUUUAUAACAUCAGGCCACACUGCUGGACAAGGACUCCCACAAAUUCGACUGUACAAAAAGAGGGGAAAAGAAAGGUAUGAGAUCCAAAAGCACAAGUGUGCACAGCUGUCGUUUUAUUCUUAGAAGUACAGUACAUACAAAACUCAUUUUCUAAUCUUAACAUUCAGUUUCAUUUAGCUAAAAUUUCUCUACAGUAUAAGGCCUAACACCAUUAAGGAAUGGUUAAUUAUCUAGGAAAGAUAACUACCCUUCACAGACUAAACGUCAUAAAAUCCACUAUUGCCCCAACCACUCUAAAGCAUCUUCUGCACAAAAGGUUACAUUCUGAAAGUCAGCUAUGUCUGGACACCAUUCCAUGUAUUCAAUCUGGAGAACUGGAUAUCCCAGAUCUAGGAUGCUGGGCUCUUAGCUCCUAAUUUCAGUGAAGAAAGAAAUACCAAAUGCCUGAAGAAGUACUGACUUGAAGACUAACAAGAAUUUAGUUGACACAGAAUAUGCUUUUGGAGGAAAAACAAACAAACAAACAAAAAAACCCACCACAACCAACCAUUUAAGUCCGAAGGGUAGAUACAAGCUUUUAGUAGCUCAAUCUUGUUUAUUUUUAUCUUUACUUUUUCACUUCAGUUAUUAGUCUUCUGUGUUGGGCCUAAUCUAUCUCCAUAUAUGGAAUUGUCCUUAGCCUCACUCCUCCCACUCUGUCUAUGCCUGUUUUGUCCCAUCAAGGAUGGUAGCAUAGCCUACCACGACGCUUCUCAGCAGAAGAAUGGGAGUGGCAAUUUACCAUGCAAUGUUUAAGACCUCUGAUGAAGGCAGUCAUAAAAGAACAACUUGCUAAGGAAAUAUAGUUCCCUAGUUCAUCCUUUUCCACUUAUUUGAUUUGAAUUGCUUGUGCAAGAAACCUAAGGAUUAAUUAUGUCCCUAAUGCUACACAAUCAAAUCUGACCAUGUUUGGGCUACGUUACUUUCAGGAAAAAAAUUAAUUCUAUCUUUUUCUAACAGAAUUUACUUCAGUUCUAUCUUUGAGCAUUAAAGUUAGAAAGAAUAAAAUGUAGAACUGUUGACUGCAACAUGACAGUUAGAGAGACUGUGUAUAAAAUUAUAAAAUAAAACUGAUAUAUUAUACUUAAACAGCCUCCAAAUGCAUAGUACUGAAUAAAAUGGAGAGGAAAAAUAGCUACAAGCAGCUAGCUGCCAGCAUUCUUCCAGCAGAAAGAAAUCUCAAAAACUGGAUUUGCUGUGCUAGGAGGUAAAAUUUCUGAUGACUGCACUCUCACUGCCAUCUAGUGGACAAAAGCAAAGAUUUCCAAAAUCAAGAAAGCCCUUCUACAAAGAAUGAUCACUGGAAGAGGGCCUCUCCUCACUUAUGAGGUCACCUAUGAUAUCAGAAUCAAGAGCAAUUUCUGCUUGCAAAAUAAAGGGGAAAACAAGAUGCACUGGCUCCAUGGAGUUAUAUACAUCCCAUCCUAAAAUUUACUGAGAUAAUGAAGGAAACAAAAUAUUCACCUCCAUAAAGUGUCUGGCAGUUUGUAAGGGAAGAGAAAUAUAUGAAAAUAUUAAAGCCUAGGUGCACAUGUGGGAAAACUCAAUGCAAGAUCUUAAGGCAAGUAGCAUACAAAGCACCUACUCCUCCCAAACCUGCUGUCCUUACUGACCAUGUUUUCUUUUGAUUUGCUGUAAGGAAUUUAUGAUGCCAUCUUAAAAAGCAAUUACAUUCCUUUAUAACUUCAGUAAUAGGAAAAGCUCCAGCUGCAUUUUGAAACACUUCUCCACAUUCAAGCAUAAGACACUUAUUCUACGUGCCCCUGAUAACCACUAAUAUCUCACUCAGGGUGAUAAUCAAGUACUUGUAAAUGUUAGUAGUUAGUACCUUUGUUUUUAACUUAAAAAAAAAAAAAAAAAAAAAGGCAGUUUAUCAGGCACAUACCACAUUGUAGUGCCUGCUAGUUACCUUAUAAGUUCCAGCUGAGCAAGUUCUUGAUUUGCUUGAAAAAUGGGCUUUUUUGUAAAAAGUUCACCCAGGAUGCAGCUGUAAAACAGUUUUAUACAAUUUCAUCAUUAUGGCUUCCAGUUCAGACUGACAGAAAUAUUUACUGCUGGCUUGUUGUUAUGCUUGCUACACUUCUGUACGAAACUCUUACCCACAGCUCCAGACAUCGAUAGCUGGCGUGUAUCUUUCUUCUCCAAGCAGAAGUUCAGGAGGCCGAUACCAUAAUGUAAUAACUUUGUUGGUAUAUGGUCGGCUGUUGGGGGAGCAAAAAAAGAGGACUAUCAUUUGGCUACAAUCUCAUUUCUGAAAAAAAGAUAUUUUGAGGGGUUUAAUUCUACAGUGUUAUUUAAGGACAGUGUUGUCUUCCUUUUUUUCAGUUCUACAAAGCUGCAACUGCACAAAAGCAACACAACCAUCUGACCAAGGCUAUUGAAGAACAGUCUGAAGCAAGACCUCAGAGAUACACAAAUAAUCACCUAGCCAUCUUGGUGCUAUGUGAAUCCUGUAUUACAAAUAAUUAAACAGCAAUACUGUUCAUUUAUUACACUGCUAGCCAUUUCAAGAAAAAGAUCUGCUUUGGUAAAAAAAAGUAAUUUCUUGACAACUGUUAAUUAUUAGAAUAUUGAACAUAGGAUCUCUACAAACAUUUUGAAAAGGAGAAAAACUGUCACUCUCCUCUCUGGAAAGAAAAGAACAAAGCCUCUCUCUCAAACUACUAUGUCCUUCAACAACUUUGAAUCCUAAGUCUGGACCAUUUCUAAUAUAUUCCUUUAUUUCAACAUAAUUAAUUCUUUACAGCUCUGACCAGAAGUUCUGGUCAUUGUGAAUAAUCCUUCCUGUCUUCACACUAACGCAAGGAUUCCACUAUCUUAGACAUGCAUUUUCUGUGGACUGGCCAAGAUACAGCAUCAACAGUUCAGAAUGGGAGUCAUAGCAGAUGUUCGGGUUGGGCUGUUUUCUACUUAGUUUUUGUGUUGCUUUUAAAGAGGGGGAUGGACAGACAGGACAACAGUAGGGUGGUUCUUAAAAGUGAUGAAAAGAAUCCUUCUAGUUUUAAGAUCUCAAGUUUACCAAUACUAGGUAACUCCAAAGAGAAAGCAAAGUAGCAUUAACUGCAGUGUUUUUACAAGCUCUUGCAACAUGCUUAGUACUGCAGGUAUUAUUUCUGCAAAACUGUCCCAGCUUUUUUCAUAAAGUCUCCUAUUUUUGUUUUAUUAAAGUUAAUAUAGCAUGGUUUUUUUUUUUUGGAAGCAGUUCCAUCAUAUAUUUAUCUCUGAAGCAAACAUCCAUCUUCAAAAUGUUUACAUGAUAUGGACUUCCUCUACAGAUAAGCCACUCACAUAUAUGUAUUAAUAUACUGUCCUUUUUGUUUGAACAGCUGUUUUCUUACACAAUCUGUCGUAUCUCUACUCUAAACAUAUUAAAGCCUCCAAAAUAACAUCUAAAGAAGAAACUAGAAUAACUGAUAAGAAUUCAGUUACAAUUUUAUUUCCUCUCCAUUAUGCCCCUACUAAACUCUGUAACCUUGUGAAAAGUGUGUCAUUCCAACGACAGUAAAACAAAAGUAAAAUACACAAA